rfam:Ovis aries breed Texel chromosome 11, whole genome shotgun sequence.
UCCCUGGUGGUCCAGUGGCUAAGACUCCGUGCUCCUAAUGCUGAGGACCAGGGUUCGGUUCCUGGUCAGGGAA